UUACCGGCCUGGUGCUUCCCCUGAACACCACUAGGUGCGGCCGGUACCGCAAAGCCAGGAGCAGGACAGGUGUUUCUCAUCCCGUCAUCAGCUGGAGACCUUUAAGAGAGCGGAUUGCCAGCACUUCUACGCCUAAAUGUUUUGCCUAUUUGGUACUGGAACCAAGCCACGGACCUUCAGGAGGAUCCAGAACGAACUCUUGCCAUAAUCCAUUUCCGGACUCUAAAUCAGUCGGCAGUCCGCUCUAGCACUUUAGGCUCAGUGAGACCCUGUCCUUCCUCCAGCUGUGAUCUAAGGAAUCGGCAAGCGCGGCCGGAUCCUGAGCCCCUCCACUAUCUUCCAGACUCGCAUUUUCUUUCUCCCUGGCGGUUCAAAACAAUCUAAAAUGCCUGUUCCCGGUGCGACCAGCUCGGGUCUUCCUCCUCCUUUAAAUAAAUCUCACCAAAACGG